AGUGAACGCUGGCGGUAGGCCUAACACAUGCAAGUCGAACGGCAGCACAGUAAGAGCUUGCUCUUACGGGUGGCGAGUGGCGGACGGGUGAGGAAUACAUCGGAAUCUACUUUUUCGUGGGGGAUAGCGUAGGGAAACUUACGCUAAUACCGCAUACGACCUACGGGUGAAAGCAGGGGAUCUUCGGACCUUGCGCGAUUGAAUGAGCCGAUGUCGGAUUAGCUAGUUGGCGGGGUAAAGGCCCACCAAGGCGACGAUCCGUAGCUGGUCUGAGCGGAUGAUCAGCCACACUGGAACUGAGACACGGUCCAGACUCCUACGGGAGGCAGCAGUGGGGAAUAUUGGACAAUGGGCGCAAGCCUGAUCCAGCCAUACCGCGUGGGUGAAGAAGGCCUUCGGGUUGUAAAGCCCUUUUGUUGGGAAAGAAAAGCAGCAGGUUAAUACCCCGCUGUUCUGACGGUACCCAAAGAAUAAGCACCGGCUAACUUCGUG
rnacentral:rRNA from 1 species